rnacentral:lncRNA from 1 species
UAGCAAUAAUAUUAUUUUCCAUUGGCUCACAAUUUGUUGAAUUUGGUUUUAGUUAAGAUGUGAAGAUAAUGUAGGUCAAGGCAGUGGCAUUAGUCUUAUCUCUUGCUUGGUGUUAACAGGUUUAAAAGAGAGCUUUUACCGCCAGCUCUACCUCUGCAGUGACAAUGAUAAAGUCCAGCUGUACACAAUGGCUCUGUUGAAAUACCAGGUUGAAUUUGUCAAGGCCAUUUAUCCUGGA